rnacentral:lncRNA from 1 species
GGAGUUGCUUGUAGUAAGGGGAUGGAAUUUAUAGCAAAGUAUCUUUUGAAGGAAAAAGAAUGAUUGUGGAAGGAAGCUGCCACUAUCACACAAGGUAACAAAAUGAAAAUUAUAAAAAAUAUCUAGUCAAAUUUUUCUCGAAUUAUUAAACGCGUUUGUGGGGCCCUCCAAUAUUUUUUCUAGUAAUUCUGGACUUUUCAAUUGCUUAUUAAUAAAUAACGAGAUCCCCGUUCAGUUUAUUUCUGUUGUUUGAACUUUUGAAUUUGAAUCUGAAUUUGAAUAUUAUUGUAAUGAUUAGUUUUAUUAACUAAAAAUUUUAUUUAUUUAAAUUGGUAAAAUAUAUUAAAAAUAACAUAUAUUCAAAAACACUAAAAUUAAAAAGGUUUGAUUAUAUUUUUAAUUUUUUUAUUUAUACUGAUUCAUAAAAUUGGUCUCUUUAUUUUAAAAGUUGAUCGUAUUGAUCUCUCUAUUUGAUUUUUUAACAAAAAAAAAUAAUGACAUGAGAUGAUUUAAAUAAUAUUGUAUAUAAUAGAAUGAUUAACACCUAUAAAAUUGAAAUAAAAUGUUAUAAAAACUUAGAUUUCAAUUUUGAAAUUUUUCAUAUUUUUAAUUUAAUUAAUAACAUAUGAAUAAUUAAUGAAUCUAGAUGGUUCUAUAUCAUAUGUCACAUCAUUAAUCCACAAAGAUACAAAUAGUUCUUAUACCUGAGAAGGUUAAUCCACAAAGCUUAUUUGAUUUCUAUCUAUUUCUUUAGUGGGCUAUAAUUAUAAAGUGUUCGUAAAGAUUUUCGCUAACAGGUUGAAACAAGUAAUUAGUCAGGUGAUUUUAGACAAUCAAACUGUUUUAGUGCAUGAUAGACAUAUUUUAGAUGACAUUUUGAUUGCUAGUUAAGAGGUUGAUGAUGUCUACAUCAACGGUCACAAUUUUGUUUAAGGGUUAUCAUGUUGGUUCUAAGGAGGAGUUCAAAUUAUCUCAUUGAUAGUUUGUUGGUGAUACAUUAAUUUUGGGUGAUAAGAUUUGAUAUAAUGAUAGAGUCAUUAAGGCUAAUCUACUUUUUUUUGAGAUGGUUUCAGGUCUGAAGGAGAGUUUCUAUAAAAGUUUGUUUGAGGGUGUUAAUGUCAGUCCAGCAUUUGUUAUUCUCAAUUGCAAAGUUGAUCGAAUGCCUUUUAAAAAUUUGAGUAUAUCUAUUAGUGGUAAUUCACAUAGGUUGUUGUUCUAGUAUUCGUUGAUUGAGAAAAUUACACAAAGAUUUUGUACUUAAACUAUUCCUUAUCGCAUUAUUAGUUUCUUUUCUUUUCUUCUUCAAGGCUCUGUCGAAUUUAAUUUCUUACAUUAAAUCUCUUUUCAAACUGUUUGUGGGGAGUAGUAAGAACGCCUGUAAAAUUCAUUGUAUAAAGUGAGAGAAAAAAAAGUGUCUUAUGUGUGAAAAAUUAUGUUUGGAGUUAAUAGGUUGGGGAUUUUAAUUGUGUUUUAUUAGGUAAAUGAGGGUGAUACUUGGAAACUGAUCAAAAUGGCAUGUGGUUUAAAGUCUUGUUUAUAAAGUACGAGUUUAAGGGCUCUAGUGUUGCUUGGAGGUCGAAUAAGGAUUAUAAUUGAUGGAGAGAUCUCUUUAAUGUUUGUGAGGGGAGAGAGGAGGGAGGCCUAGUUGGUUUUCUGAAAAUUUAGUAUGGAAGGUGGUUGAUGGGUGUCAUACUUCUUUUUAAUAUGAUAAAUGGUUGGAGAUAGAUGCUUUAUGUAGCGUUUUGAUCAAUUGUAUGGUCUAGUGAUGGACACAUCGAUUUCAGUUGUGCAUAUAGAGAUUAUUUAUAUGGAAGGAACAUUUGAUUUUGUAAUGCAUUGUUUGUUUGAACUACUUGUAGUGUAGGAAAAUGUGGAUCUGGAAACGCAACCAAGGAGAGAUGUACUCGGUUAAUGUUGUUCAUACUCAAUUAGAGGAUGCUUCAAAUGUGGAGAAUGAUUCUAGGUGUCAAACCAUUUGGAACAAAUUGAUUUCUUUCAAAUUGUCGAUGCUUGUACGGGAGCUCAUGAACAAUAGGAUACCACUAAAGAUAAUUUGGAUAGAUGUAGUUUGUUAACGCAACAAUCAUAUUUGUGUGUUGGUGAUCGUCAACAGGUUGAAUUAUUACAACAUUCAUUUUUAGUGCCUUUUGUUUGGUCAUGUAUGGGUUGAUGUUUUGUCGUGGAUGGGGUUUUAAAGUGCACUUUUCAAUGAUGCAUGUCAUCAUGUUAGUCAAUUUGAAGACAUCUUUUGUGGUAGUAAGAAAAUUAAUCAAAAAGGUUAAGUAAUUCAGAUUGUAAUGUUACAUAGGCUAAUGUUACAUCUAGUCAGUUGGUGGACUAAGUGAAACUUUUUUCUUGAUGAUGGCUUAAAUCUAAG